UUUUCUUUGACGUUCUUCUGCGUCAUUGCACCCUCAUAUUGACAAGAGGGUGCUCCACCCGGUACUCCUGGGCUGGGGCCAAAAUGCAGGCCACUGAAAUAGUCAUCGAAGUAUGAGGGCAAGGAUUCGGAGUGGCAUCUGAAGCCCCACUGUCUGGAAUCUAAUCCAGUUUUCACCGCGUCUUUUGGCUUUGCUUUUGCUUGCAUUUUUGCCAAAGACUAAGCUAACCUUUGACAAGCAGCACGGAAAUAAGGAUAACAUAAACUUCCCAGAAGCUUUUCAGGACAGUGCUCCUGAAGAAUGGAACAUACAGGGGCCAGAUGGCAAUCUUGGCGUGGAAUACCAAAACCUGCAGUUAGUUAGUCAAACACUGACAACCCCAUCUCCACCUAAGUGGGAAUGCCCCUCUUGUUUGCAAUGCUAGUGAAAUUAGUGAUGAAGAGUUUUAUAGGAAAAUUAGAGAAAUAGAGUUGUGGGGGAAUACUGAAUGGGAUAACCCUGUCUGACACUUAAUCAAUCUUCUCAUGUUUUCUUCCAUCUGCUACUUCUAUAGCUUCUCUUCUUCCUUCCUAAUUAUAGCCCUUUACUAGAAUUCAUGCCUCAUACGUGAAAUUACCAAGUACCAUAAUUCUUCCAAGUGGUAACAAUACCUCAAGACAAGUGCUGGGCAUAGAAGCCAUGGAGCAUAAAUCUGCAAAGAAGUGAAAAGCUAACCUUUUCAAAGAAUAUUACUUCUCUCUCACUUACCAGCUUUACAUCUCCCUGUAUGGCCCCGGAAGAUGGCUGGUUAGCCAGAGAGGGGUAAGAUUCCUCAAGGGAGGAACAACCUAAGACAGGCACAGUUGCAGGGGGGCCAUCAGGUGAGAAAAUGGGGGCCAACAGAGGUGAGGCUUAGAACCUCAACCCCCCAGUUUUGAGAGAAAUCUAUACCCGUGGAAGUUUUGUUGCCCUUGUCUAACUUUGAUUAAUACCUAGUCAUAGGCACAGACCUGAUCAUUUACACUUGCCUUCUUACAGCACUAAAUCAUGCUUUCUAUCUUCAUCUUGCAUCUACCUAUGAUAGAAUAAAUAUUAUGAGGGGAUAAAAUGUACCCAUUGUAUUAGAAAUAUAGAUGAUGAUACCUGCCUAGCUAACUGUAGCAGUGAGUGACCUGUAUUUCACCCUGAGCUGAUAGACUCCAUAGUCACUGCUACAUGCUGCACGCUUCUGCCGUCACACGCCUUACUUAGAAACUGUGUUGCAUAGAAACGAGAGACACAAUAGAGUACGUGUUGCUAGGAAAAGUUUAGGUCAAGGAACAGAAAAAAAAUCACCUGUCUAACACUUGGCUAACCAUGUAUAGAUUAGAAAUAAAUAGAAAGAGAAAAGCUUGCCUAUGCUUGUUAAUCAAAAGAACAAAUGAAAAAUAAUCAUAUCCUUUUGCAAAUGGUAUAAAUAAAGAUGUCAUUGGCACUUUGUUGAGAGACCUUCUCCAACUGACUCAUGCUUUUACCUCUAGUUAACGACUAAAAUCGGUUUUAACUGAGCACCCUAUAUUUUUAUUUGCUAAAUCUUGCAACCCUACUUUAUGUCCAAUUACUCAUGAAUAACAAAAAGGACCAAGAAACAUAUUAAAGGAACCAGGAAGAAGUUAUCUGCACCAGACUGGGUAAAUAUAUAAUACAAACAACCAUGCGCCAACUCCGUCCUGCACCUUUGGGCAUCCCACCCCUCAGGUGGAGCUGGACUCUGGCAAGUAGCACCCAACGUGGGGCUUGAAGGACUCAGAUACACCCAUGUGGGUACCAGACAGACUCAUCAGACAGGUCUCAACCACCACCUCCUCCCCCACACAACUUCCUGAGAGGAAGUGAAAGCCCCUGCCCAAGAAAAAACCUUGAAGAACUUCUAGUACCGCCUUUACAGAACCUUGCUCUCCAAGAUUCCUGAGAAGCUCGCCAGUCGCGACCAAGUCUUCCCCCACGGAGACGAUUGGCAAGAUCAACCGGAAAAGUGACCCUCCGACCUGAGACCAGAUAGAGAAGCUGAUGGAGGAAGCCGAAGCUGUAGAUCGCCUUCCGAGUUUGCCUAUUCCUAGUAAAGAAUUGAAACGGAAUUGGCCUGGGAUACACAGAGAGUUCUGUCUUUACCAGAGCUGUUCUUUGGGGGAUCCAACCAAAGAGAACUUGAACUACAGAUUCAUUUAUUUGAAGUCAACAUUACAUGGUGACCAGAUAGGACCUGAAGGAGAUGAACCCCCGAGAAGUAAUGACCCCUGGAACUCUGUGAUGUACCCAUAGUGUCCCUUGUGCUCUCCACUUCCAUGAGCCAUCAUUUUCCUUUUGGUUUGGAAUAGACUCUUGGAUCCAUGAGUCACACCUAAAGAAAGCACAAAACCUUGACUGGACCUGCACACCAACUGAUGACCUGAAAAUAAAGAUUUCCAGGAGUUGAAGCAGAUGAUAACUGAAGGAGACAGCUUUCCAAAGAUGACUGGACCAGACCUGUGUAUACCUUUUUCUCAUUGUUGCUUCUUAUUUCAUCCCUUUCCUUCUUUGCACCAUCUGAUGUAAAAGGGAGAAACCUUUCUGACUGUUCGAUCUGUCCCCAGAAACUCUGAUCUGUUCAUGAUAUUGGAGAUCCCUUAGUCUUCCCUAUUUAAAUACUGUUUGUUCCCCUGUACUCAUGGGAAAUACAAAUAAGCUAUCUUGUCUGCAAGAACUUUGGAAAAGAUUCUUCAAGCUAGAAUGGUGCCUUGGAAAUGUCUGUUCCUCAUCUUAAUCUGUAUAAAUCAUUUUUAAGCUUUAUACCUGUUGCCUGUCAAACCUUUGUAGAAAUGACUUGCUUGGUAGUGUGAUGCACUUUGACCUUUAUAAGCACCUCCAACACUUAUGUCAGGUGGAAAAUGCCUGAGAGUUCUCCCUCCUACCCUUCCUUGUUACUCAAAUGUGGCUUCAACAGUUUCUAAUCUAGGUACUAUUCCUCUGAUGUGGAACAUGACAACCAGGAAAGGGCUUUCUGGCACCAAGGGACAAAACCACUAAAUAUCAAAAAACCUCGACUCUUGAUCAGCAACCUUUUCAAGAAAAGAUCUUGGUCAAAAGAGGGGAAUGUGAACAUAAAUAAAGGAAAUUGCAUUGAAAUGGAGUUGGGAAGCCUUGAGUGGGGAGUGCGCAUUCACUGCCACUUCUCAUAAGAAGCGUACGUUGUAUUCCCUGGCAGGAAGAAGCUUGCUUUAUACACCCCAGCUGGAGGAGGGAAGAAUUUCUCCUGGCCGGCAACAGCACAGCUAAUGAGAACUCAGCAAAACAGCCCCUCCUAACUUCUUCCUUUCCCCUGUGAAGGCAAGCCCUUUUCCUCUGUUCUCCAGAGUGCCUAUGGUUUGCCAGCCUCCUCCUUUUCUAUUCCCAAACAGAUGCGUUUCACUGGUGAAAUAAUUCGUUCUUUUCUUUUUUAAGGGCAACAGAAGCAGAAACCAUCUGAGGUUUCUGGUAGCAGACUGAAGGGUUCUGAAAAACUGCGGUUUGCUGGGAAGAGAGGUGGUGUCUGGGGCAUCAGGGUAGUUGGUGAGAGCGGGCUGUAGGAGAGAGGAAAGAUCUUGCUUACUACCUGCUUCCCAUUUACCCCAUUCCUUUAAGCGCUCAGAAUGUUAAAUUGACCUGCUGGCCUUUAUGUAAAACAUUAGUGUGCAAACUUCUCCCAGCAGAAACGUAGGCAAAAUUACAGUUGACCCUUGAACAACAUGAGGGUUAAGGGCAGUCAAAAAUCUGGACAUAACUUUUGACUCCCCCAAAAUUUGACUAUUAAUAGCCUACUGUUGACCAGAAGCCAUACUGAUAACAAAGUUGAUUAAUACGUUUUGUAUAUGUGCUAUAUACUGUACUUUUACAAUAAAGUAAGCUAGAGAAAAAAAAUUUUUUAAUUGUCAUGCAUCUCCAAAAAGUUUUCUAGUAUAUGUAUUGAAAAAUCCACAUAUAAGUGGACCCACACAAUUCAAACCAAUGUUGUUCAAGGGUCAACUGUGUAGUGAAUUGUGCUUGUAUUUUUAUUGCAGUGGGGAAGCUUUGGGUUUCUCUCCAAGUUUAACCCCUUCGUGUCCUGCAUGUGGCUAUUGCCAGUUAAGUGGGACCAGUGGCCAGAGGUCCGGACUUCCCAUCAUUUGCUGCCCCUUUCACCCUUUGCCUGAAAUACAAAUAGGUUGGGAGACCACAAAGGCCCCGGGCUCUCUGGAAGGAAACCAUCAUGGUUUCAGAAAGAAUAGGCCAAAGCCAGCUCAUUUAACCACUAGAUGUGAUUAAAUAAUAAUAAUGUGUGAGCACUCAAAAUCAUACCAGACUCUUCUUGGAUGACUUUGUCAUCGCGUUUAGUUUUUCUAACAACCUGGUAAGAUAGAUCCUUAUUAUCCCCAUUGCACAGUUGAGGAAAUGGAUUUAAUUAACUUACCUGGGUCACUCAGCUAGUAUGUUGCAUAUCUAGGGUUUGAUGGAUUUGAAAUUCCAUCUACCUGACCCUAAACACCAUUCCUAAUUUGUGUGCCUUAUCUGAAGCACGCAGGGCUAUAUGGUUUUCCUGAAUCUUUUUCUUGCAUUGAAUGUCUUAUUAGAUUUCACCAUUUGAAAUUCCAUCCCUUGAAUCAUGAAGGCUUUGCCUACCCAAAUUCCCUUUUCAAAAGGUAUCUGUCCAAAGGAGCAGCAGUGGCUUAAGCAUAUCAGAUAACAUUUGAGUGGAGGAAAAUGGGCUCUCAGCUAAGUCCCCCACAAAGGACAUGGGCAAUUAAUUCAGUUUCCUCAAGUUAAUGAGUUUUGGAGAAUCAGGGACACUAAAGGUCCAAAGAAAGAUUGGAUCAAGUAUAAAUUUUAUAUCGGUACUCUCAGAGGUUUGCUACCAUUUAGAAAGCCAACCCUUUGGGGCCUAAUCUAUCAUUUUCGCAUCCAGAUGACAUUAUUAGCACAUAAUAUAAACAAUACAUUAUAAUGCUCAGAGGCUCCUGACUCAACCUUCUGUAGCCACUCUUGCCUCCUUCACAGUUACCAUUAUUUCUCAGGAUUACAGGAAGAUUCAAUCAUAUUCAUAUAUCCUGAGGGAGUUUUUCACCCAGCAGACUGAGACAGCAUACUGUCACAGGCCCUUUGAUAUUCUGGUUUCACUGUACAUUUUAAUAGGUACUCGUUUAGAUUAAUCAACAAUCUGUAAGAUGUAACAAUAUUGUUGAGUGCACAUUAUAUUCCAGACACUGUAGUAAUAAGCACUUUCCAUGCGUGAUCUCAUUAAAAUCUCAUGAGUCUGAGAACAAAUUUAUCCCAGAAAGACCAACUUGUUCAAAGUCACACACACACAUAAAUAGCAGAGCAAAGAUUUAGGUCCAGUCUAACUCCAGAGCCUCAUAACCAUGCAUGGUUGUAGCUAUAGUUAGAUAAUAAUAGGUGAUCUAAGUAUAGUCAUAGGGGCUCUGAGAAAAGAUGGUAGGGUAUUUACUGGUCAACAAUGUGGUCUGUACCACUAUUGCUUAGAGCUCAUUCCUGGAAGGGUAACUCUCAAUGAAAUAGCACAUUUAUAAUAAUAAUAAUACAUAUAACUGAAUAACAAUAA